rnacentral:misc_RNA from 1 species
GAUGAAGAACGUAGCGAAAUGCGAUAAGUAAUGUGAAUUGCAGAAUUCAGUGAAUCAUCGAAUCUUUGAACGCACAUUGCGCCCGCCAGUAUUCUGGCGGGCAUGCCUGUUCGAGCGUCAUUUCAACCCUCAAGACCCCUUCGGGGGACUUGGUGUUGGGGACCGGCACAGGGGCCUGCCUGCUUGUCUUGCAGCGCCCUCGCCGCCCCCGAAAUGAAUUGGCGGCCUCGUCGCGGCCUCCCCUGCGUAGUAGCACAAACCUCGCAACGAGAACGUGACGGCGGCCACUGCCGUAAAACAACCCAAUUUUAUUAGAGUUGACCUCGAAUCAGGUAGGAAUACCCGCUGAACUUAAGCAUAUCAAUAAGCGGAGGA